rnacentral:rRNA from 1 species
UAGGGUGCGUAGGCGGCCUUUUAAGUCAGCGGUGAAAGUCUGUGGCUCAACCAUAGAAUUGCCGUUGAAACUGGGGGGCUUGAGUAUGUUUGAGGCAGGCGGAAUGCGUGGUGUAGCGGUGAAAUGCAUAGAUAUCACGCAGAACCCCGAUUGCGAAGGCAGCCUGCCAAGCCAUGACUGACGCUGAUGCACGAAAGUGUGGGUAUCAAACAGA